ACCUGUCAGUUCGUAAAAUGGUCUAUAGAGCAUUUUACGCGACAGGAUCAGCUAUUUUUAAUACGAACGUACGGAAGUAAUUUGUUUGUAAAUUAUUUAAAGUUUUCGUGACUUCCCGUGGCCUUUAAAAUAAAAAUGUCGAAAGUGAGAAUCUGGUGCAUUAUACAUAAAUGCCUAUCAAUAUUCCGGGUGAAACGAAUCGCAGAAGUUUUUUUUUCGAGUUCCGAAUCCUACGCGUCUGAAUGUAACAUUUCUGCAGAAUAUUGCAAAGAUCCAAUUGGCUAAAUGAAAAAAAAAUAAUUUCUAUGUCCCGUGAAAAUUGUAGAAAACCAGCAGCUUUGACAAAUACGACUGAUAUCGAUUGGGUUCCUACACUUAAGUUGCAGACAGCUCAACCAUGUUCUACUUUAUCGUCCAAGAACCGUAGGAAAUUGAAGUAAACACCUUUGAAAUUGCCGCCUGAUGGUUCUGCUGAUGAAAAUAUUGCUGAACAUUGUGGAUCAACUCGCGAGAAAACUAAUAAGAGAACACACUCCAAAGAAAACAUUCCGCUUUUACUCAACGUUCAAGAAGACUAUACUUUUAUAUUCAUGUGUUGAUUUUGCUUUGGGAACAUGCAUAAAUGACGUACCUUUUUUAAGGUUUUUUUA